CGGCUGUUUUCCCAGAGACUGCAAGGACUGUUGUGCAUUGACAGCUUGUCAGAAUGCCUGUUUCCCUCGCUAUGGCAGUCUUGGAUGUGCCUAGAGAGGAAUGUUUCUCUUGCAUAGAACACACAACAACAAGCCGACUAGCAGGUGGGCCUCCCUCCCUCCACUCCGUGCCUGCCACCCUCCCUCUCUCCCAGCUGAUGCCUGACAAAAGAGCACUGAGCCUGGGCACAGGACCCAGGAAACUCCCAGGCAUUUGGCAGACAACAACAGAGGCCUACACAACAGAACGGCGGUGGCUGAGACGGUGCUUGGCAGCCAGGCUCGGUGUGGUGCUGGCGCUCAUCAGGCAGACGGAGAAGAAGAGGCAGCUUGCGGCCUGAGAGGACAUGCACACACCGCUCACAACAUCCUGGUCCCAGGCCAACCCCAGAGAAUCCCAGCAGCAACCAACAGGCCUUCCCAAAUAUACACACAAACACACACACACACACGCUACCCUCUCAUAAACACACCCUUUCACUCACAUGCACACAAUCCCUGUCUCAUCAAUGCAAAAUACAUGUUCAUAUACACACUAGCAAAAUAGCUCACUCUCUCACACACAGAAACACAUCCUCCCUCUUCAGUGGACGCUGACUAAAUCGCUCUUUCACACACACUAAAUCACAACACACUCACAUCAUUCUCUUUCACACACACUAAAUCACAACACACUCACAUCAUUCUCUGUCACACUGCCACUGGAAUCUACAUUAUUAAAUUGCAUUCAGGUGAAAUGAAAUGAUCAUGUAAUAUGUUAGGCUUUAUAUUUCGUUUUUUGUUUAUAAUCUCUGUUAAAUCCCUUCUAUUUGAACAACACAAAUACAUUUGCGAGUAAAGAAAAAUAAACUGGUUUAA